UGCCCAUGGGAAAGACAUUAAGAGGGAGAGU
rnacentral:piRNA from 1 species